AACGAACGCUGGCGGCAUGCCUAACACAUGCAAGUCGAACGAGACCUUCGGGUCUAGUGGCGCACGGGUGCGUAACGCGUGGGAACCUGCCCUUAGGUUCGGAAUAACUCCCCGAAAGGGGUGCUAAUACCGGAUAAUGUCUUCGGACCAAAGAUUUAUCGCCUUUGGAUGGGCCCGCGUUGGAUUAGCUAGUUGGUAGGGUAAAAGCCUACCAAGGCGACGAUCCAUAGCUGGUCUGAGAGGAUGAACAGCCACACUGGGACUGAGACACGGCCCAGACUCCUACGGGAAGCAGCAGUGGGGAAUAUUGGACAAUGGGCGAAAGCCUGAUCCAGCAAUGCCGCGUGAGUGAUGAAGGCCUUAGGGUUGUAAAGCUCUUUUACCCGGGAUGAUAAUGACAGUACCGGGAGAAUAAGCUCCGGCUAACUCCGUG
rnacentral:rRNA from 1 species